AUCACCUGCGCAUCUUGUUAAAAUGCAGAUUCUGAUCCAGUGGGCCCGGGGUGGGGCCCGAGAUUCUGCAUUUCUUACAAACUCUCAGGUGAAGCAAG
rfam:Myotis lucifugus cont2.20489, whole genome shotgun sequence.